ensembl:lincRNA
GGCGGGCCUCGGGAUGGGGCGGAGCCGAGAGAGGCCACUGGGGAGGUGCUGGGGGCGGGGCUUUGGAAUCCGUGGCGGGAGAAGCAGCGCGAGGCUGUGGAAGAGCUGAGCGAGAAGCAGCUGCGGGAGCACCCCGCGGAUUCCUGAGAACCAGCUUGGGGAGAGCGAGGGCUGGGGAGGUGCAGGGUGGUGUCAUGAGAAAGCGCUGUAGGAGGGCCUGGUGCAUAGCUCAGCUGCAGGGUGGAGCUGAGGGAAAGCCUGGAGGUUCCGGAGGAGGAGCAGGGCGGGGCUGUGGCAAAUCGCUGUGGGAGAUGGGGCGGGGCUGCGGGAAUGAGCUGGGGAAGGAGGAGCCAAGCUAGAGCAAGGCUGUUGUGUGAGCCCGGUUGGGGAGGAGCUAGUGCAGAGCCGGAGGAAAGCUGAAAGAUGCUGGGGUGGGCAGAGGGGUAGGAGAACCAGGAAUGGGCCAGAGGAGUUGGAGCUGGGAGUGGAGACGCAUGGGGAGUAGGAUGGGGCUGUGGGAAAAAGCUGGGAGAAAGAAGCUGACGGUGGAGCUGCAGCGGGAACUGUGUCAGAGAUUCUGGAGGGGCCACCUGCAAGAGGAGGACGUAGCUGUGGGCAGAACUGUGAGAUGCACCUACGUCUCCUUGGAGAAACUUGAGGAAGCAGGAAUGCUGGAGAUGAGAGACCUCGUCGGCUCAGAGGCUUGUUCCUCUGUCUCUUUGUAG